UGGAGUUAUGUUGAUAAACAGAACAAGGAUGAGCUAAUGGAUCAUGUCCAAGCUGAUUUUGUAUUAGAUUGGACCAAAAGCAACCUUCAAGAGACAGUGGCAAUGGCAAUUGCUCAAAAAUAUAAUGAUUUUCACUACCUACUGCACAG